rnacentral:rRNA from 1 species
UACAGAGGUCUCAAGCGUUUGUUCGGAUUCAUUGGGCGUAAAGGGUGCGUAGGUGGCGCUGUAAGUCGGGUGUGAAAUUUCGGAGCUUAACUCCGAAACUGCAUUCGAUACUGCGGUGCUUGAGGACUGGAGAGGAGACUGGAAUUCAUGGUGUAGCAGUGAAAUGCGUAGAGAUCAUGAGGAAGACCAGUGGCGAAGGCGGGUCUCUGGACAGUUCCUGACGCUGAGGCACGAAGGUCAGGGGAGCAAACAGG